rnacentral:rRNA from 1 species
AAUGAACGCUGGCGGCAUGCCUAACACAUGCAAGUCGAACGAGACCUUCGGGUCUAGUGGCGCACGGGUGCGUAACGCGUGGGAAUCUACCCUUGGGUUCGGAAUAACUCAGAGAAAUUUGAGCUAAUACCGGAUGAUGACGUAAGUCCAAAGAUUUAUCGCCCAAGGAUGAGCCCGCGUAGGAUUAGCUUGUUGGUGAGGUAAAAGCUCACCAAGGCGACGAUCCUUAGCUGGUCUGAGAGGAUGAUCAGCCACACUGGGACUGAGACACGGCCCAGACUCCUACGGGAGGCAGCAGUGGGAAUAUUGGACAAUGGGCGAAAGGCCUGAUCCAGCAAUGCCGCGUGAGUGAUGAAGGCCUUAGGGUUGUAAAGCUCUUUUACCCGGGAUGAUAAUGACAGUACCGGGAGAAUAAGCCCCCGGCUAACUCCGUGCCAGCAGCCGCGGUAAUGUGACUACUG